rnacentral:rRNA from 1 species
UGACAUCUGACCUCAAAUCAGGUAGGACUACCCGCUGAACUU